CUACGGUCUCAGUUCAGACUGCAGGCUGCAACUCGCCUGCAUGAAGUUGGAAUUGCUAGUAAUCGCGAAUCAGAAUGUCGCGGUGAAUACGUUCCCGGGCCUUGUACACACCGCCCGUCACACCAUGAGAGUCGAUAACACCCGAAGCCUGUGAGCUAACCUUUUAGGAGGCAGCAGUCGAAGGUGGGGUUGAUGAUUGGGGUGAAGUCGUAACAAGGUACC
rnacentral:rRNA from 1 species